rnacentral:rRNA from 1 species
AUUGAACGCUGGCGGCAGGCCUAACACAUGCAAGUCGAACGAGUGGCGGACGGGUGAGUAAUGUCUGGGAAACUGCCCGAUGGAGGGGGAUACCUACUGGAAACGGUUGCUAAUCCCGCGUACCACCGGAUGGGCCCAGAUGGGAUUAGCUAGUAGGUUGGGUAACGCCUCACCGAGGCGACGAGCCCUAGCUGGUCUGAGAGGAUGACCAGCCAUACUGGAACUGAGACACGGUCCAGACUCCUACGGGAGGCAGAAGUGGGGAAUAGUGCACAAUGGGCGCAAGCCUGAUGCAGCCAUGCCGCGUGUAGGAAGAAGGCCUUGGGGUUGUAAAAUACUUUCAGCGAGGAGGCGUUACUCGCAGAAGAAGCACCGGCUAACUCCGUGCCAGCAGCCGCGGUAAUAC